UUGGGGUCAGGCUGGCAUGUGGAAUUACACUGCUCGCUGGGUUGGUCCAGAGCAUGGUUUCAAGAGGAGACUAAGCAGCUACUUGGCUAGGAUGGUGUGGCAGGGCACUGUUGGUGCUGCCACUUUAAGGGCCAGAAGACAGCAGUGGGCAGGUGCCUGAUGAGGGCAGCCAUUUUAGGUUCAGGGCUGCCCAUAUAAACAGGGCAUUUUUGCUGCCUAGGAGGCCAGGUAACAACAUUACCUGGCUGGAGGACUGCUGGUAUCAUCCGGAGGGUCUGGAAAGUGGACCCCAGAGAGAGAGUGGAGCCAUAGACUCGCAGCGGUCUGGACAUCCCCUGACUGAUCAAUGCUGGGGCUAGGACCGGAAGGGUCGAAGGGCCGGGGGCCCACCGCGAGAGACGCCCAAGAGCUGCGCGCCUGGAGUUCCAACUGGCCUGGAGAAAGGAAAAUCCAGUCAUGGGGAGGAGGGCAAACAUGACUCGCAUAAGGUUAAACAGUGACCAAGUGGGAAACAGAAUCUGGACUGAACCCAGUCCAGUGCUUCAUCCAUUAGAUCACUCUUUAUUUAUGCUGUCAAUCUCAAAUAAAUACCUUACAUAAAUAUAUCACAGUCUUCUUAGUGACCAAAGACUGAACUGGUGACCAAGAGAGUUAUAAUUUUAAGCUUCUACAGCAUGAAUUAAAGGAACAAGUCUGGUAGCAGCUACUAGCUGUAUUAGCCACUUCUCUGUUAACAGGGGUGAGAAAAAGACACAUGGGUCAUUCUGUGCUAUGCAUAGGCAUAGAUAACUGGUGACAUUAGCCCUUCCAUAAAUAAUACAAUUGAACCUGAUCAUUCAUAUCCUUGUAGUUUACAACCCAUUUAAUUUGCAGACAGUUGCUGAAUUUAGAACAAAUUACUCAGUUCCCUGUUGCAGCUUCCACUUCAAAGUACAGCAGUUUUUCACCCACCUGGUCAGUGGUCAGCUCAUCAAUGGUCCUAGGCAGCUGAUCAGAGGAGUGGUGCCCUUUGAAAUAAAAGCUGCAGCAGCUCAGCAGUGUUUGCUGUGGCUCUGGAUACUUUUAAAAUCCUCAUCUUUACGGGGGGCUGGGACCCUAGCCCUGAGAAGUAUCCUGAUUCUUUGGUAUUACGUUAGUAAAUAAAGGAAACAUUUAGAAUAGCCAUUCCUUUAUAACACUUUACUAAGUGAACAAGUUUAGUCAUUGUACAAAGCUACUUAUUAAAGCAUUGCUUUCCAAAUGUGUAAGUUAAAUGCUAUUUUAAUUCUGAAAUGUCCAGAAAAUGAUUUCAGCCCCAAGUUUCCUGAAAUUAUUUUUUCUGCAGGAUCUGUAAACUGUAAGUCAAGCUUUGUCCUUUUGCACCUGGAAAAUCAGGGCACAGUGGCAGAGCAGUUAAACCAGUUGACCUAGCCGUAAAAGAAUACCUCUUUCUUUGUGUUGGGGAGUCAAAGGCAGCUGGAUAUGGUACUAGCUACCACACUUUCUUUUAGUUCAUUGGUUGCAAAAACUGGUGUGCUUUAACUACCCUGAUGGGCCACAAGGCUUGAGAGAAUGUUGACCUGUAAAAGUAUACCCCUUGUGGAUCAAAGUCCUGUUUUAAUGCAAUUCAGUGCACAGAAACUGCAUUCAUUUGCAGUACUGACUGCUGGUGAGCACUGCAUUUUUCUUAAUGUCACCCCUUUGGAAAAAAACAGACAUUCAUUUUUUGCUAGAUCUUAUGUUAAGCUUGUAGUUUUGGUAAUGACAUCGUAGCAUUACCGGAUGGGAGUUGCUCUGGGGAUGUAAAUGUAAUGAUAUAGCUUUAAUUACUGAAACAUUACAUCCACCCACACACAGACAACAUUGUAUGUUCCAGUGAACUUUUCAUGACAUUUAUGUCAUCAUGCACAUAUUGCAAGCAUAAAGCCAUCUGCUAUUUACUGAAGAAAUCUUUUGUUACAUCUACCAUUACCGUACAAUACUUUCCAGACAAAAUCUCAAAAUAUCCUAACAAUUGGAUAAUUCUAAUUAUUGUGGCUUGAUUAACUGGAAUUUGUCUUGCCUCUUUUUAGUCAUUCUGAAAUAUCAAGAUCAUAUUCUGCUGGCAAACAAAACAGUUGAAUAAAGUUGCAGGCACUAGAGCUAACCAAAACUUAGGUAGAGAUACAUUUCUGACAUUUCAAAAUUUGCCACAAAAUGAAAAUUCUAAAAAGAUAUGGUUUCAGAAAAUGUAAUUUUAGAAUCCCAAAUUUUUCUCUGAAAAUCUAAAAUAUAGUUCAUGAAUAAUAUAAUAAUUAGGUAAGUAGGAUAAAAUUAAGAGUUCUAAUGGGAUAAAAUAAAAAUUGAAACAAAGUAUCAUAAUUGUAAAGGGAUUUUUGUUAAUUUCCUAAAACAAGAAAUUCCAGAAUAUGGUUUUCUUUUAAAAACAUUCUGUUGGAACUUGCACUGAUGUUUUUCCAAGCAUUUCAGUUUUUAUGAAACCAGCAUUUUCAUUGAAAAGUAUUUUGACAAAGAGAAUAUUGACCAGCUCUAAUCUUCUUUUAGAGGUCUAUUUUUCCUUUAUUCAGUAUAAUGGCCUUGCAGUACAAAUCCUUGUCUGAAAAGAUAAUUUCUACCUGGGAUUUUCAUCAGGAUCAUGUUGGUUUCUUCUUUUGACUGGGAGUACUGAAAACAGUCUAUUGCCAACAUUUUUGUGGUUUUUGGACUAACAUCAACUUCUCUGUGGUCAUAUUGAGAUGACUGAGAUAGAUCUCAGAUUUGUCCCCAGCCUCAUUUCCAAAUAGAGAAUACAGCCUUUGUGAAAGCUUUGCCUAUGUAUUUGGUCAAAAAUAGUUUGUGACUUCAAUCUGUACAAAAGCAGAAAUAGCACAGGGUACCACUAGCAUCAGAGUAAUGGAACAGUUGAAAAACUUCCAACCAGGAUGAAUGGGAGAGAACAGAGAAAUACUGGAGUCAUGGUUGAUGAGGUACCUCAGCAAUGUUAACAGCAUCAAGCAACUGGCAUUUGGUUACAGCCAAUGGUGGAGAUAACUGGCAGGAAACUGAUCAACUUGUUAAACUUGUAGUUUUCACCUUUUCAAGCAGCCAUGUUUUGAGUAAUUUAAUUUUAACACCCUGAAAAUAAGUACUUUGUUAUUCAUUUCCCCUAGUCACAACUGAGUAACAAUCAUGUAAAACUUCGUAUGUUAAAACUGAACAAUGGGCUCUGAAAAAAUGAAGCAUUUAACUUGCCUCUUAGCUCUGUCUGAUGUGGCAGGGAUAUGGCACAUAUAUAAUCUGUCACUUACAAUGUAAAAUAACUGUUUUUACAUAAACAUCUUGGGUUCCUCCUUCUCACAGGCUGUAACCUUGAAAAGAUUACAAAUAAAAUAGCAUCUGGAUUAUCAUAAGAUUACAAAUAAGAUGGCAGAUGGAUAUUCUGAAGAGCAUCCAGCUGCAGAAGAUGGGGCCAGAAGAAAGGCUACAAAAGAACAGUUAGAGAAUUAUGAGCUCCAUGUCUGGUGUUAUCCAUCCUUUUGUGAGAAGAGAUCAUGGAACUCAUGCAGGAGGAGUGGCAAGUAAAGAAGAGAAGAGCCAAUCAGGAGGCACUCACAAGUUAAGCCCAGGAGGGGUGGUAGAUAGUAGGACUGCACGAAGCUUCGGUUGCUGAUUUGAUUUGGAAGAGAUUCAGCCUGAUUCAGUGGCUGAAUCUCCACAUCCAAAUUGAAUCAGGAGACCCUUUAAUCUCUCUAAAUCAAAUCAGAACCCUCCUAAUCAAUUCAGAGAGAUCCGGAAAGAUUCGGCGAUUCAGACAUAGACACAGCUUUAAAUGUUUUUUCUACACACCUCAAGGUAGCAGGUAGCUCAUGAAUGCUGUGAUGCUGGAGUGGAUGGAGCAUCCCACAGGAGUGCAGGGGACUCUCCAGCACACUUGGCAGCAGACCUGGAAGUGGACCAGAAGCACUUCCAGUCCACUUCUGCAU